ACUUAAAUAGCUUAUAUAGAGCAUAAUAUUGAAGAUAUUAGGGAAAUUAAAAAAUUUUUAAGUA
rnacentral:tRNA from 1 species